GACGAACGCUGGCGGCGUGCUUAACACAUGCAAGUCGAACGGAAAGGCCCUGCUUUUGUGGGGUGCUCGAGUGGCGAACGGGUGAGUAACACGUGAGUAACCUGCCCUUGACUUUGGGAUAACUUCAGGAAACUGGGGCUAAUACCGGAUAGGAGCUCCUGCUGCAUGGUGGGGGUCGGAAAGUUUCGGCGGUUGGGGAUGGACUCGCGGCUUAUCAGCUUGUUGGUGGGGUAGUGGCUUACCAAGGCUUUGACGGGUAGCCGGCCUGAGAGGGUGACCGGCCACAUUGGGACUGAGAUACGGCCCAGACUCCUACGGGAGGCAGCAGUGGGGAAUAUUGCACAAUGGGCGGAAGCCUGAUGCAGCAACGCCGCGUGCGGGAUGACGGCCUUCGGGUUGUAAACCGCUUUCGCCUGUGACGAAGCGUGAGUGACGGUAAUGGGUAAAGAAGCACCGGCUAACUACGUGCCAGCAGCCGCGGUGAUACGUAGGGUGCGAGCGUUGUCCGGAUUUAUUGGGCGUAAAGGGCUCGUAGGUGGUUGAUCGCGUCGGAAGUGUAAUCUUGGGGCUUAACCCUGAGCGUGCUUUCGAUACGGGUUGACUUGAGGAAGGUAGGGGAGAAUGGAAUUCCUGGUGGAGCGGUGGAAUGCGCAGAUAUCAGGAGGAACGCCAGUGGCGAAGGCGGUUCUCUGGGCCUUUCCUGACGCUGAGGAGCGAAAGCGUGGGGAGCGAACAGGCUUAGAUACCCUGGUAGUCCACGCUGUAAACGGUGGGUACUAGGUGUGGGGUCCAUUCCACGGGUUCCGUGCCGUAGCUAACGCUUUAAGUACCCCGCCUGGGGAGUACGGCCGCAAGGCUAAAACUCAAAGGAAUUGACGGGGCCCCGCACAAGCGGCGGAGCAUGCGGAUUAAUUCGAUGCAACGCGUAGAACCUUACCUGGGUUUGACAUGGAUCGGGAGUGCUCAGAGAUGGGUGUGCCUCUUUUGGGGUCGGUUCACAGGUGGUGCAUGCCUGUCGUCAGCUCGUGUCGUGAGAUGUUGGGUUAAGUCCCGCAACGAGCGCAACCCUUGUUCACUGUUGCCAGCACGUUAUGGUGGGGACUCAGUGGAGACCGCCGGGGUCAACUCGGAGGAAGGUGGGGAUGACGUCAAGUCAUCAUGCCCCUUAUGUCCAGGGCUUCACGCAUGCUACAAUGGCUGGUACAGAGAGUGGCGAGCCUGUGAGGGUGAGCGAAUCUCGGAAAGCCGGUCUCAGUUCGGAUUGGGGUCUGCAACUCGACCCCAUGAAGUCGGAGUCGCUAGUAAUCGCAGAUCAGCAACGCUGCGGUGAAUACGUUCCCGGG
rnacentral:rRNA from 1 species